AGUGAACGCUGGCGGCGUGCCUAAUACAUGCAAGUCGAACGGAGUGGCGCACGGGUGAGUAAUAUAUAGCUAAACUGCCCUUUGCUGGAGGACAACAGUUAGAAAUGACUGCUAAUACUCCAUAGAAAGGGAUGAGACUAUAACGUAUCAGCUAGUCGGUGGGGUAACGGCCUACCGAGGCUAUGACGAGUCACUGGUCUAAGAGGAUGAUCAGUAAACUUCGAACGGAGGCACCGUUCAAACUCCUAGCGCAAGGAGCAGUAGCGAAUAGUACGCAAGGGGCGAAAGUCAGACGCAGCUUCGCCUCGUGGAGGAUGACCCUUUUCGAGGCAUAAACUCCUUUUGUUAGGGACGCGGUACCUAACGAAUAAGCACCGGCUAACUCCGUGCCAGCCGCCGCGGUAAUUC
rnacentral:rRNA from 1 species